CAGUCGCCACGGUAAUACGUAGGUGGCAAGCGUUGUCCGGAAUUAUUGGGCGUAAAGGGCUCGCAGGCGGUUUCUUAAGUCUGAUGUGAAAGCCCCCGGCUCAACCGGGGAGGGUCAUUGGAAACUGGGAAACUUGAGUGCAGAAGAGGAGAGUGGAAUUCCACGUGUAGCGGUGAAAUGCGUAGAGAUGUGGAGGAACACCAGUGGCGAAGGCGACUCUCUGGUCUGUAACUGACGCUGAGGAGCGAAAGCGUGGGGAGCGAACAGGAUUAGAUACCCGUGUAGUCCCUGUCUCUUAUAC
rnacentral:rRNA from 1 species